GUGAGCCUACGGGAGGCAGCAGUAGGGAAUUUUCGUCAAUGGGCGCAAGCCUGAACGAGCAAUGCCGCGUGAACGAGGAAGGUCUUCGGAUCGUAAAGUUCUGUUGAAGGGGAAAAAGAGCGGAGAGAGGAAGUGAACUCCGAUUGAUAUUACCCUUCGAGGAAGUCACGGCUAACUACGUGCCAGCAGCCGCGGUAAUACGUAGGUGGCGAGCGUUAUUCGGAAUGAUUGGGCGUAAAGGGUGCGUAGGCGGCCUGCUAAGUCUGGAGUGAAAGGUACCGGCUCAACCGGUACAGGCUCUGGAA
rnacentral:rRNA from 1 species